CUCUAGGAGUUGUUACAAGCUAAAUCAAUCACACUGACAACUCCAAGGUGAUUUAUAGCUUCAACACUUAAUUUUGUAUAGUUUGGUAUUUCACUAGUUGCUAAGCUAGUACUAUACUAUAAGAGGUAGUUCUAUUAAUUAUACCAUCUCUUUUAGUAGUUAAAGAACUAAAUGGAAAAUUUGAAACAAAAAGCUAAUUUCU
rnacentral:lncRNA from 1 species